UAAUGUUAGCAAAUAUUCAAACAUUCCGACACAGCUUCAAAUGCUGCGCUUGGCUGAUGGCAAAGCUAAGUUAUAGGAUGUAAAUGUGGGUCUCAAACGACGCUUGUAACCAUGUUGAAGGAAAAUUGAACAGUGAUUCUGUUCCCUUAAAAAAAGUUUAGAUUCCAAGGGUGUUGCAGGCUAUAUCCUAAAGCAAAUUACUUUCAGAUAAUCUUAAAUAGAGUUAGAAAUGAGUACUUUAAGGCUUGUAUAAAAUACCGGCAGACAUUUUUGUUUUCUAGGGACCAUAGAAAAUAAACGCUAUUUCUUGUACUAUGCCUAAGCGUUUAUUCCUGUAAAUAAUAUAGAACUACUUAAAUUAAUUGAUUAAGUAAACUUAAAUUUGAGGUUAUGAUAGGUGCUUUUCUUUCCUAUUUUUCGUCCUCUUUCAAACAUUUAUGACAAUAACUAAAAUCAUGUUAGAAAAGUUAGUAGACAAACUAACCUUAUUUUUGAGGUUAUGUUUGCCGAUUUCUCAAAAAGCGCUUUUUCUCUUCUCUCAGAACCAUUUCUAACGUUGCUUGGUUUGUAUUGAGACCAGAAAGCUUAUUUAGUUAUCUGAUUCCAAUAAAUAUGCAGAGUGUUCUAGUGUAUGUACCAGAUUUUAGAAUUGCUGCCUCUGCUAUAUGUCUGCUUUGUCCUGCUCUCCUAACUAACUGGGUCAUAUGCAUAGACUGAUUGAAAUAAAUUAUCGCACUGAAUACGUCAUGAUCUCUAUGUUUUAUAACACUCUUUGACCUCUAUACCUAUAACGAACUCGACUUGUUUCUCUUUCAAACUCCUUUAGAUCGCACAUCAAAACUUUCUUUUGAAUACAACGUACAUCAUCUCAUCUCAUAUAUUCUCUUCGAAUCGCUCUAAAAUAUCCGUUUUGUUACUACUUUAAGCUACUUGAAAGUACAAAGACUAGCAGAUGAAACAAUUUUCCAAAAGAACUUGCGGAAUGUUGUUAAGGUAACAGCCUUCGGUCAUACAAUUCAAGUUACUUAUGUCUACCCGAUAUAUGCGAAUAAAUUUACUUGGCAUACAUUCUUCAUUUUUUUUAAGUUAUAGAUCAAAAAUUAAAAAUGUUUCUAAUAAUCAUAGCUUGGCACAUUUCUAAUAAAAAUAUUGACAAAGUUCAUCCAUCCCUAUGCUGAAGAAAUAAGUGGAGGACCGCAAAGAGAAAUAUAUAACAAUACUCCGUGACCUAAACCAAUUGGGUAAUGUCAUGGUACAUUCCUGCAGUGAAAUUUCCUUAAUAUAACAGUUACAGAAAAGCUAUAGUCUUACUGAAAGGCAACGUACUACCGAACAGCACAACUACAUUUUUGAGCGUGUCUAGUUUUAAAAGACUAAACAAGCAGAUCCAAUAAAUAGAUAAAUAUUUACAAAAAUCCAUAGAGAGUUGAAGAAAACAACUUGAAGUUGGCUGCUUUCCUUGAUAAAGUACUCUAUUUUCUGUCAUAUUUAAAUCCCAACCUGUGUUUGUUACGGAGAAGAUUUUAUAUCCGACAUUCGUGAUUUUGUAAUUUAAUUUUCUAACGCAGUCUGUUAUAAGAAAGGGUUCUUCAAACUUGUCUAUAUAGAUCACGUACUAUGCUCUAAAAAGGAGUAAGUUACAACCGUCGUUCGGAAUGAGAGAAAUGAGAGAUACGUAAUUGUUACUCUCAAAGCAUCAAAUACAAUAUGCUGCAGUAAUUAUAGCUCUCCGCUCUUUACCAAGUGACGUGAUAGCUUUAACUGUCUAUCAUCUGCAAAUAAAUCAGAUGAUAUUGUUUAGCCUUGAACGUGAAACAUUGGAGCGAAAAAACGGUUAAAUGAGCUGUGAAAUCGCUUGUAUUGCUAAUAAUGAAAGUAAAUUGCUUUGGUAAUUACACUUAUUAACAUGGCUAAUAAUAUUUUAAUGUGAGGCCGAAAUGAAAUGUACAGUAAAAGUUUUAUAAAAAAAUCGGCGACUAUUUAAGGCAUGUGCCGCUUCGUUUUUUUACAGUAAGUAACUGCAGCUAUUUUUGUAUCUAACGAAUUUUUGUGACAUAAAAAAUGUUGAAGGACUAUAAAAUUGUCAUCUGUUUCGCAAUGUUUACACUUUUCGGUCUAACAUUAGCGCGCUCAGAUCCACAGCUUCAAGCAAGAUUCAUUGAGCUCCAACAUACGGUGAGAGAAUUGACUACUUCCUUAUUGAAAUUGAGUCCGAAUGGCGAAAACAUAUCAGAAAAUGAAAACAAAAAUCCGAUGGAUUUUGAAGAUUUCAAAAAUUUAUUGAAUCUCUAAAGUUUUGGAUAUAGAGGAAAUUUUAAAUAUGAAAAGUAAUCAGCAAUCAAGAAGGUAGUUGAUUUUAAUUAAAGUGUAUUCCGCGCAUCUAUUAGUCAAAAUAUAUUACGUAACUAACCAAAAAUAACUGUUAUUUAACUUAUUUAACUUGUAUUCAGUACAUUAAAUAUAAUACAAAAAUUUGCGUAAAUAAAGAAACAAAUUUGAUUUAUGCUGAGUAGUAUUCAGCUCAGUAAUUAGUUAAAACAUUUAAAAAAUUUAGCAAUAUCAACAUUAAUGAAGUAU